ACGUAUCUCUGACGGGGUGCGGAUCGCCCAGCUCCGGCCCAAACGGGUCGUGCAGCGGGCGGCCGUCCCUGUUCAAACCUCACAAACCCACUGUGAACCUUCACGGCGGAGGGGGUGCGGUCUGUGCCGUGCCCCCGAUGCCGCAUACCAAACUCCAGUUGCAAAGAAUGUAUUGCGGACCUGUGCCGCCUAAACACAUAA
rnacentral:misc_RNA from 1 species